UUCCUACGGGGCGCAGCAGUGAGGAAUAUUGGUCAAUGGACGAGAGUCUGAACCAGCCAAGUAGCGUGAAGGAUGACUGCCCUAUGGGUUGUAAACUUCUUUUAUAUGGGAAUAAAAUGUUCCACGUGUGGGAUUUUGUAUGUACCAUAUGAAUAAGGAUCGGCUAACUCCGUGCCAGCAGCCGCGGUAAUACGGAGGAUCCGAGCGUUAUCCGGAUUUAUUGGGUUAAAAGGGUCGUAGGGUGGUUUUU
rnacentral:rRNA from 1 species